UUUGGUCACGGACCAAACCAAAACCAAAACCAAAACCAGAACCAACCCCACCCAACGCCCAUUCUUCCUCCACCCACCCCAUUCUUCAACCUCCGUCGGCGGCCUAGAUCCCGGCCAACUCCGUCCACUCCCUUGCCCGCCGACCACCGCCCCAGAACCCCCUCCUCCCCCUCUCUCUGUUCCACCGACGAGAACCACCAAAUCGAGCCAUAGCUCGGUAUCCCGGCUGACGGCGGCGCCAUGCCAUGGCGUCCAUGGCGACGGCGGCGCCCGGAUCGACGAACUGCAUCACCGUGCGGUGCAGAGGCGCCGGCUAGCAAGCCCCGACCUUCAAUGGUGGCGCUGGCGACCUCAGGGCCGGCAACCGCGUCCCUGCUCUACGGACGGCUCCCGCGCCGGCCAGACCUCCUCCUCGUUGUUCCCCUUCAAGGCCGGCCUGCACCGCCGCCCUCGCGUCCGACGGUAGCAGCCACGCCGGCUGUUCGUGGCGGGGGGCAGAGGGCUAGAGCGGGAGGUGCUGCCUGUCCUCGCACAAGGGGCUCGACCAGGACAUGAUCGACGACGAGCUCGUCCACCCUCGUCUCGAGGGAAACGUCCUCGAAUCCUACCAUGACGGCGCCCUGCAAGAGGAGACAUGGCGACCUGUUCAUCGGUGCUCUCUGGCUCUGUUACGGCGUCGACCACUGCACUAGGAGCAAGGGCCGCCUUGAGCAUGGGAGUGAAGGAAGUGUUGCACCUCCAUGGUUGCAGCAGCGACGAAGCAGUGUUGUGCAGGUAACUUUUGGAUUGUGUAAUGCUUGUCUUCCCUGCGUUGGGGGACAGCCAUUACUAGCAAAGCAAGCUGGCAUGCAGGCAGGCAAUGGCGUCUUGUUUGUGUAACAAUGGCUGAGGUUCAGAGCGCAUCAGAGGAGGUGGAGCAAAGCGGUGGUACAGGGAAGCGGCCUCUGAGGAAAAAACAUGAGGACUCACUGUGGCGAACAUGAUUGUCGAGACUUGCACAAGUGCACCACAUAGGUGCCCUGGUUGCUGCGGACCAUUCCUGGAAUUGGGACUGCCAUUACCUGCAAGCUAGCAUGCAGCGGACUCUUGUUGGUGUACAUGGUAAAGUAGUCCUGUACAUUUUCAGGUUCAGAGCGCAUCGGAGUAGGUUGAGCGAAGCGGGGUACAGGGAGGCGGCCUCUGAGGGGAAACAUGAGGAGGCACUGUGGCGAACAUCAUCGGCGCGACUUGCACAAGUGCACCGCGUAGGCGCUCCGGUUGCUGCCGGUUGACCAUAAAUCCUGGAAUUGGGCAGUAUGAACACUUUGUCUGCUGCCGGUUGACCAUAAAUCCUGGAAUUGGGCAGUAUGAACACUUUGUCUGCUAGCUCCGUUGUUUCAAUUGCUACUGCGUUGUUUACUGCUAUCUGAUUCAUGUGCUGGUGACAGACAUAGUGUUUACUGCUAUCUGAUUCAUUGGUUGGGAGCUGGUAGACAGCAUGUUGGUGGUCUUGUUUAAGUUGAAGGCUGCUUGCUAGGGAGGUGUGUGCUGUUGCCUGUUGGCAUAUUGCAACUUGUGUGUUCCAGUGCUUGCAUUCUUUAUGAGUUGAAUUCGUUUACUA